UUCGAACUUAACUAUCUACUCAAAAUAAUCCACUCGGAGACAAAGCGGUUGAUCCGGCACGUCCAUGGUUUGCACGUUUAUCGUACAUAUGUACGUACGUCUUUGUACCAUAGAUAUUACAAGCUCGUCACACUGCAACCAACGCAGCAAUGUCGCGUUGUACACCCUUCGCACUCCUUGACGGGAACAAGGAGUGAUUGUAUCGUCAUCGAUCCCGCUAUUCCACAUCUCUCGAUAUAUAGUAUGUAUAUGCGCGCGGCCCACUCGAAAUGCAAAUAAAGAACGUGCUCGAA